rnacentral:rRNA from 1 species
AUUGAACGCUGGCGGCAUGCUUUACACAUGCAAGUCGAACGGUAACAGGGAGCUUGCUCCGCUGACGAGUGGCGAACGGGUGAGUAAUGCAUCGGAACGUACCCAGUCGUGGGGGAUAACGUAGCGAAAGUUACGCUAAUACCGCAUACGUCCUGAGGGAGAAAGCGGGGGACCGAAAGGCCUCGCGCGAUUGGAGCGGCCGAUGUCGGAUUAGCUAGUUGGUAGGGUAAAGGCCUACCAAGGCGACGAUCCGUAGCGGGUCUGAGAGGAUGAUCCGCCACACUGGGACUGAGACACGGCCCAGACUCCUACGGGAGGCAGCAGUGGGGAAUUUUGGACAAUGGGCGCAAGCCUGAUCCAGCCAUGCCGCGUGAGUGAAGAAGGCCUCGGUUGUAAG